rnacentral:rRNA from 1 species
GACGGAGGGUGCAAGCGUUAUUCGGAAUCACUGGGCGUAAAGAGCGUGUAGGCGGCCGGGUAAGUCCGGUGUGAAAGCCCAGGGCUCAACCCUGGAAGGGCACUGGAAACUGCUCGGCUUGAGUACGGGAGAGGGAAGCGGAAUUCCUGGUGUAGAGGUGAAAUUCGUAGAUAUCAGGAGGAACACCGGUGGCGAAGGCGGCUUCCUGGACCGAUACUGACGCUGAGACGCGAAAGCGUGGGGAGCAAACAGG